AAUAAGAAUUAACUCCAACUCUCUCUCUCUCUCUCUCUCUCUCUCUCUCUCUUUUCUCUUAAAGAUUAAACCAGCAACCUUAAAGUUUUCUAGGGUUCUUGAAGAAACCCUCAUAUCUACAAAACAAGUGUGAAGGGAAGCAUAAGUUCUAAAAGAAUUCAAGUUAUAAGGAGAAGUUGCCGAAAUUGAGGUAAGGUGACUUCUACAUUUUUGUCUUCCUUGUGUAUGAGUUUGAGUGAGGAAUUAGUGUUGUGCUGUCAUGAAGAACUAAAGGGGGUGGUGAGUUCAAUAGUUGGUUGUAUGAUAAAAGAAUAUUUGGGUCUGUUCUAUGUGUAUUACUGUUGGCGCAACUUGGUUGAUCUUGGGGAAAUGAUGUAUAAUGUAUGUGAUGGAUAGAGAAUGAGGGUGUGGUGAUACACAUUAUGUUGAGGGAUCUAUGGUCUCAUUAUCUGUCAAAUUUAGCUACUGUUUUCCGAGGCUCAUGGUGUGAUAGCUGCUAAUUUUAGUUUGCCAUUACUUAAAUUGUAGAAUAAAACCAAAAAGGAGAGGCUGAAUCGUAAUUGUAUAUCACUAUGAGGAUAAGGUAUGUAAGGCUAUGAAAUCUGAUACUUGCGAUUAAUACCAAUGAAGUGAAUCUCAUAAAAUCUAUUCCUAGAAAAGGAAACAUAGUGACAACGUACUGUCUCCAAAUAGCUAACAAAAUUUCCCCCCUCUCUAUAGUGCAUAUAACUACUUCUUUAUAUGUUCACUAUCUUAUACUUGUGUAAUUAUUCACCCCCGGGCUGGUAUAGAAAUGGUAUUAUCAAAAGCAAGUCUGGUGAAUCCUCCUCUUUGUUGUUUGAAGUCAAUUGUGUCAUUAAGCUCUUAAAUAAUGUGUUUAUGUUACAUGGCUCCUUAUGUCAUUGUUAUUGCCUUUAUGUAUUAUUUUCAUGUCUUCUAUUACUGGUCUGUACUUCCAUAUCUUCAAAAUGAUUAUGACCACCAUAUAACAUAAUAAAAGAGUUACGAUUCUCGAAAAAGCGAUCCCAAAAGUGUUACGAAGUGAUAAACAACAAUCUCAAAGAUUAAAGAAUCUAAGUGAUGAAAUCUAUAUAAUUACGGGUUGCAGCCUAGGGGCGAAAGCCUAGAAUGGGUCGAUCCCAACUAGUACAUAAGGGUGGUAGCUUAAGGGAGAAAGUCUAUCAUGGGCCGAUAACAAUUGGUAUAGAAGGGUGGUAUUUCAGUGGCGAAAGCCUAGCAUGGACCCAUCCCAAAUUGUGUAAUUAUGAGGACUGCAUCAAAGGGGCUAAUAUACCUAGCAUGGGUCAUCCUCUUCUACCACUGAUUAGCUGGUCACUUGUAUCACAUGCCCUACAAAGAUUAUAACAUACAGAAAAGUAAAGAAAAUAAUGUAACUUACAUGAUCUCACAAGAGUAAGCAAAGGUGGUCUUUUCUCCUGAUCUAUGCACUCAUAUGUUGAUACUUGAUUUCAUUUGAGCCCUCGUAUUACAUAUGCUAUAUUGCCUUACAUAAUCAGUACAUUUUUUUUGUACUGGCGUCCCUCGCGGGGGACGCUGCAUUCAUGCUGCAGGCACAUGUACUCCAACUAGUAGACCUUCUCAAUAGGAGCAUACGACACUCUGAAACUUUUGGUGAGCUCCAGGUUGAUUUGAAGCUUUACUGAGUCCUUGGUAAAUUCAUGUUGGUAUUGUAUUAUAGUUGUGUCUUAAGGUGUUGUGGCCUCAACGGCCAAGUCUUGUAUAUAACUUUUUGGGUCUACUUAUGUUGGUUUUUAUCGUUGUGUCCUUUAUGAACUUGUCAUGAUUUUUGUAGUUAUAUCAAAGUAAGAACAGACUUCAGGUUGGUUCUCUUGGGACCUUAGGGCUUCGGGUGUCUGUCCGUCUAAAUGGGAUUUGAGGCGUGACGAAAGUGGUUUCAGAGCAAGUCAUACUAGGGAGUCUACAAAACUGUGUCUGUGUAGGGUUUUGCUUAUGGAUGUGUCGUGCACCAUAUCUAUAAACAGGAGGCUACGGGACAUAUGCUGGUUACGAGAAGGAGUAAAAGUACUGGUAAGAGAGAAGAUGUGGCUCCCUAAAAAGGGACCCAACCAACCACCACUAAGUCAAGCUGUUCAAAGUGCGUCUCAAGAUGAGUCUCUAUCGCAGACUUCCCCGACGCCUCCAUCUCCUGAAGAACUAAGGAGUAAAGAUGAACCUCAGGAACACCCUAUUAAUGCUACCGAGCAAGAUUUGAGGAAUGUACUCCAAUUAUUAACUCGUAUAGUGGUGUAGAUAGAGCAGCUGGAACACUGAUACAUGAUUUUCUUAACUUGGACCCUCCAUGACUCACCAAGUCAGAUCCUAAUGAAGAUCCGCAAGACUUUAUAGAUCAGAUCAAAUGAGUUUUGGAUAUUAUGCAUGUUAGUGGUAAAAAAGCACUUGAGCUAGCAGCAUAUAGAUUAUGAAGCUUUGAAGUAAUCUAGGGGAACAUAAGCACCUUCAGCUACGUGGAAAGAGUUCAAAAAGGCAUUCCUUUACCAUUAUCUUCCAUUGGAGAUCUGAAAGACCCGUGCGGAUCAGUUCUUAAAUCUCCACCAAAGAGGUAUGAGCGUGAGAGAGUAUAGUCUCAAAUUCAUUUCCUUAGCAAGAUAUGCUCCUAAUGUAGUAGCUACCACGGAGGAUAGAGUUCAUCGAUAUGUGGAUAGAUUAGACCCAUAUUUAGUUAGAGAUGUACCACUGCUUCAUUGAAUAAAGAUAUGGAUAUAGCAAGGAUGCAGGCCUUUGGGCAAAAGUUAGAGGGUCAAAGGCAAAGAAGAAGGAUACAAGAGUCAGAAACAGGGAAGUACGAGCCAAUCAAGGCCUCUUCGACAGCCUUGUAAACAAUGUGGGAGGAAUCAUCCGGUGCAUGCAGGUUUGGGACAUAUGUUUGUUUUUGGUGUGGCGCACCAAGGCAUAUAUGAGAAACUGCCCUCAUAGGGGCAUGGGUGGCGUUGCACAGCCAACUAGAUCAGUUGUUUCAUCAAACUCAUCAACACCUUCUUUGGGUAGGGGGAUACAGAUGCCUAGAGGUCGUGGUAGCGGAGCUAGGGGAGCAGCAAGUUCUAGUGGAUGUCAGAAUCGCACAUAUGCACUAGGGGAUCGACAAAAUUAAGAAGCCUCGCCAGAUGUGGUUACAGUUUAAGUGUGAAGGGAAGCUGAAGUUCUAAAAGAAUUCAAGUUAUAAGGAGAAGUUGCCAAAAUUGAGAUUAAAACAAUAAAGGGGAGGUUGAAUCGUGAUAGUAUAUCAGUUUGAGGAUAAGGUGGCAACCCAAGGGUGAAAGCUAGCAUGGGUCGAUCCCAACUGGUACAUAAGGGUGGCAGCUCAGGGGAGAAAGCCUAGCAUGGGUCAAUCCCAAAUUGUGUAAUUAUGAGGACCGCACCCCACAGGUUAAUAUGCCUAGCAUGGGUCAUCCUCUUCCACCACUGAUUAGCUGGUCACUUGUAUAACAUGCCCUACAAAGAUUAUAACGUACAGAAAAGUAAAGAAAACAAUGUAACUUACAUGAUCUCACAAGAGUAAGCAAAGGCACAUGCACUCCAGCUAGUAGACCUCUUCAGUAGGAGCAUACGACACUAUGAUACUUUUGGUGAGCUCCAGGUUGAUUUGGAGCCUUACAGCGUCCUUGGUAAAUUCAUGUUGGUAUUGUAUUGUAGUUAAGAUUACUCAUUCAGGUGAUAGAGGAUUAUGCCAUCAUUCAUCUUAAAGAGGUAGUUAGAAUUCAUGGAUUUGCGUUGUCAAUUAUUUCAUAUAGAGGUGCACAAUUUAUUGCACAAUUUUUGAGGUCAUUUCUGAAAGGCUAGGGUUCAAAGGUGAA